AACUUCCCACCCCUGUAGACGACGAAGGUGAAUUGAUUAGUUUGGAGUGCGACAAAUUGUUUACUUAACUUAUUAUGAUUGAUAGUUAGUUGUUUCAUUUGGAGCUGAAUUGUUUAGGGUUUAUUUAGUUAUUGAGAAUUAUGGUUUGGAGUUUUUGUUUUCUUUUUUGAUUUUUCUCCAUUCUGGCGUGUUUGGCCUUCUGUGAAAGGAUAAUAAACAUUUGCCAUUGCCACAAACAUCCGAGACACUGCCUCCAUUUCGUUCUACAUCGCCACGAGGCCAUCCCGGCUACAAUUGGACCAUGGUUGGAUGUCGGGGAUAAACCCAGAAUCUGGUUGAUGCUACAGGGAAGUGCUGGAGAGCAGAAGACCGCAGCCUGUGGGACAAGCAGGACCUUGAAGUCCUGAGUCUGCCUUUUGUUGGGCAGCACACGGUGAGGCUUGGCCUGUUUCUUUCUCCGACCUUUGCUGUCACAGUCCCCAACAUGACCACUGGAGGUACUUGGCUGGGCAUUUACUCCAGAAUGGGAGAUGCCAUGGAGCUCCUCUAGGCUCCUUCCUUGAAUGAAUGGAGUCUCCUGGAACAGUAGUCCGGCCUGGGGGACUGUGUUCUGCAGUUGGACAUGUUGACCAAAGUCAAGUAAGAUGGUGGCAAUUUCAAGUGUCUCCUUUAAAGGGCACUUAAACACCCCACAUUUAUCCUGGGAAACCAAUUCACCAUCUCCUCUGUCUGCAGCCUACAAUGAAAAGGAACUCUGUAAAUUAUCUGAAAUACUCAUACAUAAUACAUUCAUAUUCAUGACAUUGAAGGACACCAACCUACCUGUACAGUACAAGUCUGCUCCUCACUUGACACCAAAUGGCAGGGCGGGGUUUGCUUGAUCCCUCUUUUGUGGAGGGAAAAACAGGCUCUGAGAAGGACCUACAGAGGCCACAAUCUCCACUCUGGAGAGCCCCUUGGAGUUCAGGGUUUUUUAGAGGGAGGACCAAUGAGCAACCACCACUGCCAUAGGUACCAUCAGAGAUGGGCAAAGGGAGAAGAGCCUGUGAAGUAGAACUGUGCCCAUUCACACCAGUGUUCCUGGUUCGAAGACACCUCUUUUUAGACAGGCUCACUCCUUCUACAUAGUAAUCUUCAAAGCGCUUGGAUGGGACAAUGUUCCUUCUAAGGCCAUAGCGGCCAUUGACAGAACGGUUCACACUGCCCUGUAAGAGAAAUAAACCAAGUUAGAAAAUACUUCAAAAUUUCAUAAAAGAAAAAAAAAAAACACACCAGAAUGGGUGACCAUUAUAAAAUUGGCUUACCUUUUCCAUAUUAGUUGAAGAAUUUGACAGGGAAAUAUCCAAAAUAUUCUUUUUGCAAUGAGAAACUGGCUUUCGCAUGUGUUAAAUUUCAUCCAAAGUUGAAAUUCUAAUCUUUGUUUGGGGUUGGUUGCCAAUGGCAAAUGGCAAAGUAGAAUUUAGAAUGUUCAUGAUGUAAUUUAGAACUCAAGUUAUGGCCAAAUAAUAACUUUUAUGUUUGUAUAGCACCUUUCUGAUUAUAGCCCAAGGUGCUUUACUGAAUUAUUACAGAAAAUAGCAAUAAAUACAACAAA